rnacentral:rRNA from 1 species
AUGCUACCAGCUGGUCAGAUUCCUACCUGGAAGGAUUUCACCAAGGCUUUUCAUGAGCACCACAUUCCUCAGGCUCUCAUUGACCGCAAGAGGGAAGAGUUCUGUAGUUUUACCCAGGGUAAGCUGCCUGUUGAUGCUUACAGUAGAGAGUUUGGAAACCUCGCCCGCUAUGCUACAGAAGAAGUGUCCACGGAUGCUAAGAAGCAGGCUAGGUUCCGGAAGGGUCUCAACCCUAAGUUGCGUCGUGAUCUCCACCUGCAUCAUUGUGAUACUUUCCAGGCUCUUGUGAACAAGGCCAUUAAUGCAGAGAUAGCUCAGCUCACUUACGAGGAGUCUCGUAAGCACAACCGUGAUAUGGGUUCUUCCUCCCACUCUGGCUCUCAGAAGCGACGGAUUUGGAUUCUGAACUCAGCUCUUCCACCUGGAUAUGCACCGAGGCCAUCCGAUGUGGCGCCUCACCACGCUCAGCAACGUGCUCCACCCAGGCCUAUUAGUAGACCACUUGCCAAAGUAGGUCCAUGUCCUACCUCAGGAACUUGCUUCACCUGCGGAGAACCAGGACACUACACAUGUGACUGCCCUCAGUCCAGUUAUACUCCACCCCAGUCUAAGAGGUCUGUUGGCCGUGAAAAGACAUCAGGCAAUAUGAUCAGUACCAAGCCAGCCUCCAUUGAAUGA